GUGGGGAAUCUUGCGCAAUGGGCGAAAGCCUGACGCAGCCAUGCCGCGUGAAUGAUGAAGGUCUUAGGAUUGUAAAAUUCUUUCACCGGGGACGAUAAUGACGGUACCCGGAGAAGAAGCUCCGGCUAACUUCGUGCCAGCAGCCGCGGUAAUACGAAGGGGGCUAGCGUUGCUCGGAAUUACUGGGCGUAAAGGGCGCGUAGGCGGACAGCUUAGUCAGAGGUGAAAGCCCAGGGCUCAACCUUGGAAUUGCCUUUGAUACUGGCUGUCUUGAGUUUGGGAGAGGUGAGUGGAACUCCGAGUGUAGAGGUGAAAUUCGUAGAUAUUCGGAAGAACACCAGUGGCGAAGGCGACUCACUGGCCCAAUACUGACGCUGAGGCGCGAAAGCGUGGGGAGCAAACAGGAUUAGAAACCCAGUAGUCC
rnacentral:rRNA from 1 species